rnacentral:rRNA from 1 species
AUUGAACGCUGGCGGCAUGCCUUACACAUGCAAGUCGAACGGCAGCACGGACUUCGGUCUGGUGGCGAGCGGCGAACGGGUGAGUAAUAUAUCGGAACAUACCUUGUAGUGGGGGAUAACUAUCCGAAAGGAUAGCUAAUACCGCAUACGCUCUAAGGAGGAAAGUGGGGGAUCGCAAGACCUCAUGCUAUAAGAGUGGCCGAUAUCUGAUUAGCUAGUUGGUGAGGUAAAGGCUCACCAAGGCGACGAUCAGUAGCUGGUCUGAGAGGACGACCAGCCACACUGGAACUGAGACACGGUCCAGACUCCUACGGGAGGCAGCAGUGGGGAAUUUUGGACAAUGGGGGCAACCCUGAUCCAGCAAUGCCGCGUGAGUGAAGAAGGGCUUCGGGUUGUAAAGCUCUUUUGUCAGGGAAGAAACGGUUGUGGCUAAUAUCCAUGGCUAAUGACGGUACCUGAAGAAUAAGCACCGGCUAACUACGUGCCAGCCGCCGCAGUAACAC